AUAAUUGUUAUCAUAAUAAAUUAUUUUAAGUCAUUGGUAAAGUUAACUCAUGAUUGAACAAAAUUGAAAUUUAUUGCAUACAAAUGAUAUCAAUUAAAUUUUUUUGCUUAAAAAAGAAGCAAGUAACUAAUUUUCUCUGGAUGUUCUUUUUUUCAUUUAAGAAAUAACUCAACGUGACAUUAUAUGGUAUUAUGGGUCCCAAAAAGAAUAUGUGUGUGUUUCGUGGUGCAGCGAAAAACUAUUUAGAAUCAAACUUUGCAUUGUCUUUGCAAGUAGACAACAAUUGUAAAAAUGGGCAUAUUCUGUUUGUAUUCGUUAGCAAUAAUGAAUCACAUCAAUUAACUAUUGAGCAGAUCAAUAAACUUUAUGGCUUCAAUAUUUGUUACAGUCAUACUAAACCUCUUGUUAAUGUAUCAAAAAAAUGGGCUUGCAAUUUUUUAAGAGAUUCAAAACAUUUUGUUGACUUCUGCAACGAGCCUUUUAUUUGUCAAGCAGCAUCAUUUCCAGCAACAGAUUCAUUUCAGUCAAGUCCAAGUUCAAGUAAAACUGUUUCGUAUUUGUCAGUUGCCUCAUCUCCUAAACAUAAAAGUAUUCUGUCUUCACCUAAUAAAUAAAGUCCUUUGUUAUCCAGGUUAAGAGCUGACCAGUUGACUCCAAGAAAAAAACUCCUCAAACAUAGAUUAAGUGUUUUUGCUACUGAAAUUGCUACCGAAAAACGAAAGCAUGGAGAGAAUGUAAAGGUGUUAAAAGAAAAAAUUAAAACAAGGCCAAGAUUUAAACAUCUCAAUGAGACUAAUGCUCGCAAAGAAAAGACAAUUCGAAGUUUGCGGAAUAAAUUAAAAGUUUAACGUCUAAACUUACAGCUGAAUAAGCUUCAAAUUUCGAAUUUUCAUUUGAAAAAAGAACUGCAAUUCACCCAAACAAAGCUGUCUAAUGAAGAAGUUAUCUUACGUCAACAACUUGCUUACAAGAAUGUAGAGAUUAAUGUCCUGCAAAAUGAUAUGCUUAUUUUACAGGAAAAGAAAGAGCAAAUGCAGCAGAAAGUACAAAGCACCAGAUGUAAAAAAGUCUACUCAUCUGAUAUUAGGGCACUUAUCUAUGACAUGCUAGCAUGUCAAGUUCCUACACACAGUGUGCCCCAACUGCUUCAUAAAGUAGGAGAACACUUUGGGUAUAGAUUUAGUGACAUUCCACAUCGCAAAACUGUGGAGCAGAUGAUGCGCGAGCUGGGUAUUAUUUCAGAACUCCAGGCUGCUGAGAUAGCAUUCUCAACAAAAAAUUUGACUCUUGGUUUUGAUGCCACAACCCAGGAGGGUGUUCAUGUCAAUGUUGUGCACUUAACAAAUGAAUCUUCGUGCAUGGUUGUAGCCAUUGACCAGCUUGCUGGUGGUACAUCUUAUGACUAUAUGAGUCAUAUUACAAAGUCUGUGGAUAAUCUUGCUAAGUUGUAUAGUGACUUUUACCGGAAACAAUAUACUGAUGUACGAAGCACGAUUAUCAGCAACAUAUGUUGUUCAGUUAAAUAAACUCCGUUACAAGGAUGGUAAAGGUGAUCCAAAAGGCUUUGUCACCUUUUUGGACAGCAUGGUCUUCCUAGAGGACUUAUACCACGCUAUAGGGGAAAUCGAUUGCACAUACUUUUUCAUACAUGUGGAACUUUAAUACAUCACUACCAGAAACUUCAGAGUUUUCUGUUUUCUGGAGUAGUGUUAUGUGGAGGACUGAGAAAUAGUCUUUUCCAAGACUUCACAUCUGAUACAGCGUUGCUUUUUUUAAAAAGAGUUUAUAGUCCAAACUUGCAACAAUAAAUCUUGAAAUU